rnacentral:rRNA from 1 species
UACGAAGGGGGCUAGCGUUGCUCGGAUUGACUUGGGACGUAAAGGGCGCGUAGGUCGGUUCGUACAGUCAAUGACGUGAAAUUCCUGGGCUCAACCUGGGGGCUGCGUUUGAUACGUGCGGACUUGAGUGCGGAAGAGGGUCGUGGAAUUCCCAGUGUAGAGGUGAAAUUCGUAGAUAUUGGGAAGAACACCGGUGGCGAAGGCGGCGACCUGGUCCGAUACUGACGCUGAGGCGCGAAAGCGUGGGGAGCAAACAGGAU